rnacentral:RNase_P_RNA from 1 species
AGGGUGCUAGGUAACGCCUAGUGGGAGUGAUCCUAAGGAAAGUGCAACAGAAAAUAACCGCCAGCGUAAGUUGGUAAGGAUGAAAAGGUGAGGUAAGAGCUCACCGUUGGCUAGGUGACUAGCCAAGCCGUGUAAACCCCACCCGGAGCAAGUCCAAGUUAGGGUUAAUAGGGUGCUGCUCGUACCCUCCGGUAGGUAGGACGCUUGAGCCUAUUGGUGACAAUAGGCCUAGAAAGAUGAUCGUUUAAUACAGAACUCCGCUUAUAGAUUUGCUCAU